AGCGAACGCUGGCGGCAGGCCUAACACAUGCAAGUCGAACGGAUCCUUCGGGAUUAGUGGCGGACGGGUGAGUAACACGUGGGAACGUGCCCUUUGGUUCGGAACAACUCAGGGAAACUUGAGCUAAUACCGGAUGUGCCCUUCGGGGGAAAGAUUUAUCGCCAUUGGAGCGGCCCGCGUCUGAUUAGCUAGUUGGUGAGGUAACGGCCCACCAAGGCGACGAUCAGUAGCUGGUCUGAGAGGAUGAUCAGCCACACUGGGACUGAGACACGGCCCAGACUCCUACGGGAGGCAGCAGUGGGGAAUCUUGCGCAAUGGGCGAAGGCCUGACGCAGCCAUGCCGCGUGAAUGAUGAAGGUCUUAGGAUUGUAAAAUUCUUUCAGCGGGGACGAUAAUGACGGUACCCGCAGAAGAAGCUCCGGCUAACUUCGUG
rnacentral:rRNA from 1 species